rnacentral:rRNA from 1 species
UACGAAGGGGGCUAGCGUUGCUCGGAAUUACUGGGCGUAAAGGGCGCGUAGGCGGCCCACAUAGUCAGGCGUGAAAUUCCUGGGCUCAACCUGGGGGCUGCGCUUGAUACGUGUGGGCUUGAGGACAGGAGAGGCUCGUGGAACUCCCGGUGUAGAGGUGAAAUUCGUAGAUAUUGGGAAGAACACCGGUGGCGAAGGCGGGGAGCUGGCCUGUAACUGACGCUGAGGCGCGACAGCGUGGGGAGCAAACAGG